rnacentral:rRNA from 1 species
AGUGAACGCUGGCGGUAGGCCUAACACAUGCAAGUCGAACGGCAGCACAGUAAGAGCUUGCUCUUACGGGUGGCGAGUGGCGGACGGGUGAGGAAUACAUCGGAAUCUACUUUUUCGUGGGGGAUAACGUAGGGAAACUUACGCUAAUACCGCAUACGACCUACGGGUGAAAGCAGGGGAUCUUCGGACCUUGCGCGAUUGAAUGAGCCGAUGUCGGAUUAGCUAGUUGGCGGGGUAAAGGCCCACCAAGGCGACGAUCCGUAGCUGGUCUGAGAGGAUGAUCAGCCACACUGGAACUGAGACACGGUCCAGACUCCUACGGGAGGCAGCAGUGGGGAAUAUUGGACAAUGGGCGCAGGCCUGAUCCAGCCAUACCGCGUGGGUGAAGAAGGCCUUCGGGUUGUAAAGCCCUUUUGUUGGGAAAGAAAAGCAGCAGGUUAAUACCCCGCUGUUCUGACGGUACCCAAAGAAUAAGCACCGGCUAACUUCGUGC